CACUGAUUAUUUAAAUGGCCGCGGUACUUUGACCGUGCAAAGGUAGCAUAAUCAUUUGUCUCUUAAUUGGAGGCUGGAAUGAAUGGUUUGAUGAGAAUUAUACUUUAUUUAUUGAAAAUUAUGAAUUUAAUUUUUAAGUUAAAAAGCUUAAAUUUUUUUAUGGGACGAGAAGACCCUAUAGAACUUUACUUAUUUUUUUAUAAUAUUUUUUUGGUUUAUAAAUAAAUUUUAUAAAAUUAUGAGUUAAGUUGGGGCGACUUUGGGGUUUUUUUAACCCCCAAAUUCUUAUUUCAAUUAUUUUUGUUUUUUUGAUCCUUUAUUAAAGAUUAUUAGAAUAAGUUACCUUAGGGAUAACAGCGUAAUUUAAUUAGAGAGUUCUUAUCGAUAAUUAAGAUUG
rnacentral:rRNA from 1 species